rnacentral:rRNA from 1 species
CCUACGGGUGGCAGCAGUGAGGAAUAUUGGUCAAUGGGAGAGAUCCUGAACCAGCAAAGCCGCGUGAGGGAAGACGGCCCUAUGGGUUGUAAACCUCUUUUGUCGGAGAACAAAACCCGGGACGCGUCCGGACUGCGUGUAUCCGAAGUAAAAGCAUCGGCUAACUCCGUGCCAGCAGCCGCGGUAAUACGGGGGAUGCGAGCGUUAUCCGGAGUGAUUGGGUUUAAGGGGUGCGUAGGCGGGCUGUUCAGUCAGCGGUAAAAGUGCGGGGCUAAACCCCGUCGAGCCGUUGAAACUGGCAGACUUGAGUUGGCGAGAAGUACGCGGAAUGCGCGGGGUAGCGGUGAAAUGCAUAGAUAGCGCGCAGAACUCCGAUGGCGAAGGCAGCGUACCGGCGCCAGACUGACGCUGAGGCACGAAAGCGUGGGGAUCGAACAGGAUUAGAUACCCUUGUAGUC